UCCCUCUCUCUCUCCCUCUCGUUCUUGCCCUUGCUCACAGAAACAGAAACAGAAACCUCGAAAAUCUUCACCGUGAAUAGACUCUCAACCUCUGUUGCAAGUAUGAAUAUGUUGAUCUGGAAUGAAUUCCAAUUGAGGAAGUGUUCAAGCACUUGAAAUGUACCAAUGUUUAACCACGGAGGAAGGAGACAAUAGGCUUCAAAUCUUCGAGAUUGGCAGGACUUCGUUGCUUCUAAGGUUUUUCUUCGUUUACGGCAUGCGAAGACCUUCAACGAAAGAGGCAAUCUGGUCAAUCAUUUUCAAUGCUUUUUUUCCAAUGGGAGAGAAGCAAUCCAACUGCCAUUUUUCUAAUUAGGGGUUUCCGUAGAUAGGAAGAAAACCCAGGUUUUAAUAGGUGUAUGCUAUUGUUGGUUGCUCUUGCGCAUUUGGUGUUGGUAUGCUAAUCAUUGGUAAUUUUUUUUUUUAUUUCAUCUUUGUUGUUAUCUAAGUAUGUUAUUUUUCUGCUAUGUGAUUUGUAAUGCUUUUCUAGCGUUCUUGGUUGUUAACUAAGUAUGGUAUUUUUCUUGCACUGCAUUUUGGAACGACUGUGUGGGUUAUCUAGGCUUGGUGGUAAUGGUAUUGCCACUGCUCACUAACUCCUCUAUUAUCUCGUAGCUCUGCCACCACCGGUCAAUUGCAUUGCAUAUGUUUUUUCCCUUUUUUCUGGUAGAGAUUUUGUUUGCUCUGUUUUUCUUUGGCGACAAUGUGUUCUGUUUGUAUUUUCUUGUUUGCUUCUUGGUUGCUAACUUAGGGUUUUUGUGUUACAGUAAUUUACAGUUUCUUUGCUCAGAUUUUGCUUUGUGUGACUUUAUUGGCAGGGUUAUGGUGUCAUACUUUUCAUUGUUACUUGAUUCAGUUCUAACCUAGUUCCACUUUGUUGGUGGUUGUUGGCAAAUAUAGAUCUUUGCGUAUUUUUCUUUUAGUUCUUUGUUUUUCCUUGUCUUCCUUUGCUUCUUUUUUUUUUGGUUUUUUCCUUUUCAUUUUAACAGGAAGUUUAUUUGGCAUUUACUUCCUCAGCAUUGGUCCUCCAAUAGGUGUUGAUCGUUUAGGUAAUUGGGUUAAUGAUAUAAAAGAGGAGAACAGUCUUUUGGGUAACAAGAUGAGAGAGUUGCACUUACUGUUGUGUUAGUUGAAUCACCAUUAGACUGUCCACCUGGAGAAGAAGCUCCAUUAGAUGCAUAUCCACCUAUCAACACCAAGGCUAAUUAAGGAAAAUAUGAUAAGACUUUUGUAUAUGAAUAUGGAUUAGAAGCAGUAGGUUAGAGAAAUAAUGUUAUUAGUUUCCACAUCAUAAUUGUGUCUUCAAUCAGCAAUAAUGAGGGAUGAAUAACAAUAAUACAAGAUGGUUCUGAUUUUAUAUCAAAUACAUAAUACUUCAUAACAUGAACCUAAAUCAAACAACCAAAGCAUGGAGAAACAAAACAAGAUUGAAACCUAUCAAAGAAAAAGACUAAAGAGAGGAUAUGAAGACAAUUUCAUUUCAUGACAAUGCUUCCAUUAGUUUGAAUAGUGGAUAUUUUGAUCUUGAACGGCAAUGUUCUGUACCAAGAGAAAAAACUAUAAUAGCAUUGUUCAACAUUCUCUAUUAUCUCUCACUGGACUUCCCCAAUGUACACAAGUUUUGAGAAAACAUGUUCAAUCUAUAACAACUAUAGCAAAAAGACCUAAUUCUUGGAAAAUCUAGGCCUGGCCAAAAAUAACACAAGGUAGUGAGGUAUAUUUUCUAUCACUAUCAUAGUAAGAAAUGAUUUGAGAACUCAAUUUAAUAUAUAGGGGUGGAAUGGUAAAAACCGGAUUUGACUAGCUGAGCCCAUAUAGUUGGGACAAUGCUUCUUUGAGUUGAGUGGAAUACCUCAACCAUGGGCCAGCCCAUAGAGGUUCUAAAUUUGAUAUAUUCUCCAUUAGAUAAUAUGGAACAAGACCUUCCAUUGCCUUUUGUUUCUUCGGAUGUAUAUAAGCUCAACGCUCAGUGGUCAGCAAUCGGUAUUGAUAAAAGUAGGAUUUUAUCCCAGACUUCAAUUAAGCUGGCUGCAAUCUACACCUUCCAUUUAUAUCAUUCUUUAAAACUUAGUUGCAAACCAAUGAAAAAGAAAAAAGAAAAAAAAAAAACCUUAAAGCCACACCUGUCCUCAAAUCUCAAAUAAAUAUACAAAAAGCAUUACCCUACAAGUAAUGCAAAAGCA